CCUGCGCCCCUGCCCGGGAUAGGGGGGUGCUGGGUGUGUUCAGGGGCUCGGUGAGCUCGCUGCUUGGGCGAAGGGUGGCUGCAGCCCUGCUGGGAUGCUGCACUUGAGCAGCCAGCGCCCAGCUGUGAGCUCUGCUGCCUGCCGAUCCCACCCCCGCCCUGGAGCUGCUCAGGCGGUGGGAUUGCUUCCAGUUUCUUGCAGCGAAGGAGGCUUGUUCUCUCCUGCUCAGGAUGAGGUGUGGGGAAGCUGCCUAAUCCGUGAGAUGUGUUAUGUCUUAACCUUUUAUAUAAAAAAGGUGUAGAAGUUUGUAAAGAGUGCAAUAUCUGAUGGUCCAGGGACAUCUACAUCGAGCACAUCACCAGCCACCGACAGUACCAGGAGGCGUGAGCUAGAGUAACAUCAUUCUUCCACUACGAGAAAGGGACCAAGUGACCUUCUCCGUUGGAUCAUAUGAACUGGAACCAUAAACUCCCUAAACAUUAAAUCUCACCAAAUGAGGGUCAAUCCAUCCUCAUCAUCAUAUCAACUCAUUAUACUCCAUAACCGAACACAAUCACUCUAUGAACUUCAUACCCUCAUAUCUCAAUGUCUGUACUUUGACCCAUCAAGCUUUUACCCCCAAUCGGGGAUAUUGCAGAUUAUGUAUUCCUCAUGCCACCUGAUCUUAAACCAAACUUUGCACCCUCAAUAAUCUGUAUGUUAUUCCCUGAUAACCAGAAAUGUCUAUGCUCAAACUCUGUUCACAAAUUUUUUUUUAACCUCUUAAUAAAAUUUUAAAAUUUGUUGUGGGGUGGUAGCUAGCUUCCAAGGAAGGCUUUCAGCUGUUUGUCAAGUAAGCUUUUGUUUGGAAAUAAAGGAGCAGUAAGGGUGCAAA